rnacentral:rRNA from 1 species
GAUGAACGCUGGCGGCGUGCCUAAUACAUGCAAGUCGAGCGAACGGACGAGAAGCUUGCUUCUCUGAUGUUAGCGGCGGACGGGUGAGUAACACGUGGAUAACCUACCUAUAAGACUGGGAUAACUUCGGGAAACCGGAGCUAAUACCGGAUAAUAUUUUGAACCGCAUGGUUCAAAAGUGAAAGGCGGUCUUGCUGUCACUUAUAGAUGGAUCCGCGCUGCAUUAGCUAGUUGGCAAGGUAACGGCUUACCAAGGCAACGAUGCAUAGCCGACCUGAGAGGGGGGUCGGCCACACUGGAACUGAGACACGGUUCAGACUCCUUCGGGAAGCCACAGUAGGGAAUCUUCCGCAAUGGGCGAAAGCCUGACGGGGGAAAGGCGCGUGAGUGAUGAAGGUCUUCGGAUCGUAAAACUCUGUUAUUAGGGAAGAACAUAUGUGUAAGUAACUGUGCACAUCUUGACGGUACCUAAUCAGAAAGCCACGGCUAACUACGUG